rnacentral:rRNA from 1 species
CCUACGGGCGGCUGCAGUGGGGAAUAUUGGACAAUGGGCGAAAGCCUGAUCCAGCCAUGCCGCGUGUGUGAAGAAGGCCUUCGGGUUGUAAAGCACUUUCAGUGGGGAAGAAAGCCUUGGGGCUAAUACCCUCGAGGAAGGACAUCACCCACAGAAGAAGCACCGGCUAACUCCGUGCCAGCAGCCGCGGUAAUACGGAGGGUGCGAGCGUUAAUCGGAAUUACUGGGCGUAAAGCGCGCGUAGGCGGUCUGAUAAGCCGGUUGUGAAAGCCCCGGGCUCAACCUGGGAACGGCAUCCGGAACUGUCAGGCUAGAGUGCAGGAGAGGAAGGUAGAAUUCCCGGUGUAGCGGUGAAAGGCGUAGAGAUCGGGAGGAAUACCAGUGGCGAAGGCGGCCUUCUGGACUGACACUGACGCUGAGGUGCGAAAGCGUGGGUAGCAAACAGGAUUAGAUACCCCUGUAGUC